UAGGGAACCUGACGCUUCACGCCGCGUGAGUGAUGAAGGCCUUCGGGUUGUAAAGCUCUUUUAGCAGGAACGAAUCAAGUGACGGUACCUGCAGAAAAAGCACCGGCUAACUCCGUGCCAGCAGCCGCGGUAAUACGGAGGGUGUAAGCGUUAUUCGGAUUGACUGGGCGUAAAGCGCAUGUAGGUGGUCUUUUAAGUCUGAUGUGAAAUCCCUGAACUCAAUUUAGGAAGUGCAUUGGAUACUGGGAGACUGGAGUAUCGGAGGGGAGAGCGGAAUUCCUGGUGUAGAGGUGAAAUUCGUAGAUAUCAGGAGGAACAACGGUGGCGAAGGCGGCUUUCUGGACGAUAACUGACACUGAGAUGCGAAAGCGUGGGGAGCAAACAGGAUUAGAUACCCUGGUAGUCCACGCUGUAAACGAUGGAUACUAGAUGUCGGGAGUUCUUACCCUUUCGGUGUCGUAGCUAACGCGAUAAGUAUCCCGCCUGAAGAUUACGGUCGCAAGAUUAAAACUCAAAGAAAUUGACGGGGGCCCGCACAAGCGGUGGAGUAUGUUGUUUAAUUCGAUGCAACGCGAAANAACUUACCUAGGCUUGACAUCCCGGGCAAUCC
rnacentral:rRNA from 1 species